rnacentral:rRNA from 1 species
GUAGUUUGAUCGUGGCUCAGGAUGAACGCCGGCGGUGUGCCUAAUACAUGCAAGUCGUACGCACUGGCCCAACUGAUUGAUGGUGCUUGCACCUGAUCGACGAUGGAUCACCAGUGAGUGGCGGACGGGUGAGUAACACGUAGGUAACCUGCCCUGUACAGGGGGAUAACAAUCAGAAGUGACUGCUAAUACCGCAUAAGACCACAGCACCGCAUGGUGCAGGGGUAAAAACUCCGGUGGUACAGGAUGGACCCGCGUCUGAUUAGCUGGUUGGUGAGGUAACGGCUCACCAAGGCGACGAUCAGUAGCCGGCUUGAGAGAGUGAACGGCCACAUUGGGACUGAGACAC